rnacentral:misc_RNA from 1 species
AAAGAUCGCAGCCUGCGGCAGCUCAGGGAUGAAUGAGUACCUGUAGGCGCUGCCGCAGGCUGCGAUCUUU